CCUACGGGUGGCUGCAGUCGAGAAUCAUUCACAAUGGGGGAAACCCUGAUGGUGCGACGCCGCGUGGGGGAAUGAAGGUCUUCGGAUUGUAAACCCCUGUCAUGUGGGAGCAAAUUAAAAAGAGAGUACCACAAGAGGAAGAGACGGCUAACUCGGUGCCAGCAGCCGCGGGACUCCAGAGGUCGUAAGAGGUGUUCGGAAUCAAUGGGCGGAAAGCGGGCGUAGGCAGGUUCGUAAGUCGUGUGUGAAAGGCGCGGGCUCAACCCGCGGAGGGCACGUGAUACUGGGAGACUAGAGUAAUGGAGGGGGAACCGGAAUUCGCGGUGUAGCAGUGAAAUGCGUAGAUAUCGAGAGGAACACUGGUGGCGAAGGCGGGUUCCUGGACAUUAACUGACGCUGAGGCACGAAGGCGAGGGGAGCGAAAGGGAUUAGAUACCCUAGUAGUC
rnacentral:rRNA from 1 species